AGCAGUCGCCGCGGUAAUACGAAGGGUGCAAGCGUUACUCGGAAUUACUGGGCGUAAGCGUGCGUAGGUGGUGGUUUAAGUCCGUUGUGAAAGCCCUGGGCUCAACCUGGGAAUUGCAGUGGAUACUGGGUCACUAGAGUGUGGUAGAGGAUAGUGGAAUUUCCGGUGUAGCAGUGAAAUGCGUAGAGAUCGGAAGGAACAUCUGUGGCGAAGGCGACUAUCUGGGCCAACACUGACACUGAAGCACGAAAGCGUGGGGAGCAAACAGGAUUAGAUACCCCCGUAGUCCCUGUCUCUUAUACA
rnacentral:rRNA from 1 species